rnacentral:rRNA from 1 species
GAUGAACGCUGACAGAAUGCUUAACACAUGCAAGUCUACUUGAUCCUUCGGGUGAUGGUGGCGGACGGGUGAGUAACGCGUAAAGAACUUGCCCUGCAGUCUGGGACAACAUUUGGAAACGAAUGCUAAUACCGGAUAUUAUGUGAGUUUCGCAUGAAAUUCAUAUGAAAGCUAUAUGCGCUGCAGGAGAGCUUUGCGUCCUAUUAGCUAGUUGGUGAGGUAACGGCUCACCAAGGCGAUGAUAGGUAGCCGGCCUGAGAGGGUGAACGGCCACAAGGGGACUGAGACACGGCCCUUACUCCUACGGGAGGCAGCAGUGGGGAAUAUUGGACAAUGGACCAAAAGUCUGAUCCAGCAAUUCUGUGUGCACGAUGAAGUUUUUCGGAAUGUAAAGUGCUUUCAGUUGGACGAAGUAAGCGACGGUACCAACAGAAGAAGCGACGGCUAAAUACGUGCCAGCAGCCGCGGUAAUACGUAUGUCGCAAGCGUUAUCCGGAUUUAUUGGGCGUAAAGCGCGUCUAGGCGGUUUGGUAAGUCUGAUGUGAAAAUGCGGGGCUCAACUCCGUAUUGCGUUGGAAACUGCCAAACUAGAGUACUGGAGAGGUGGGCGGAACUACAAGUGUAGAGGUGAAAUUCGUAGAUAUUUGUAGGAAUGCCGAUGAGGGGGCCAGCCCACUGGACAGAUACUGACGCUAAAGCUUAAAAGGUGGGUAGCAAACAGG